CAGCAGCCUCGGUAAUACGUAGGGUGCAAGCGUUAAUCGGAAUUACUGGGCGUAAAGCGUGCGCAGGCGGUUCGUUAAGACAGAUGUGAAAUCCCCGGGCUCAACCUGGGAACUGCAUUUGUGACUGUAUAGCUAGAGUACGGCAGAGGGGGAUGGAAUUCCGCGUGUAGCAGUGAAAUGCGUAGAUAUGCGGAGGAACACCGAUGGCGAAGGCAAUCCCCUGGGCCUGUACUGACGCUCAUGCACGAAAGCGUGGGGAGCAAACAGGAUUAGAUACCCGUGUAGUCCCUGUCUCUUAUAC
rnacentral:rRNA from 1 species